rnacentral:misc_RNA from 1 species
GAGAACACAAAGGCAAUUAUUAAUUAUCAAAAUUCUCAAUUUUUAUCUUAUCUUAAUCACAACUUAAGGAGUCUGAAAUUAGAUGGAUAUUUAUCGUUACAUAAGAAUUCAGGAUGAGAAUUGUAAUUUCUCAAGAAUCAAUUAAAAAUUUCAAUUAAAAGACCAACUUCUCAUAAGUAGUCAUGCUAUAAAGUCACUCUAGUUUUUAUACAAGAAUGUCACUCUAGUUUUUUAUACAAGAAUGUCACAGAACGGCUCCUCAGGGAAUAAAAACUCUUAAAACUGAAAUUGAAAUUCAACUAUUAAGCUUCUUCAGUGACUACAUUCUUCCAUGGCUGGUGAAAAGUAGGCGUCAAGUUACCUAGUUCAAAAUAUAAU